ensembl:lncRNA
CUGGCCAGUCCGGGGGAGGGGAGGGAGGUCAUUGCCAGUUUCCAGUAUGGGUGGAGUCUAAUCUGAGGCUUGAAUGGAGAACUAGAAAUUAACCAAAUGGAGCAGGAGUAAACAAGGGGGUAUGUGUGUGUGACAAGGCUGAGUUCCACCUUGAGGGAGCACAUACACAUAGAAAACCAGGAGGAGGGAGGGUGCUUGGCAUUGUCCACGAGAGGACAGUUCAGUGUGACCAGUGCUUAAAGAGAUGGGUGGGGGUGGUGGGUAAGAAAUGAAGCUGGAGAGGAAAGCAGGGGCAGGGAGAGCCCCCGGGGACUUUACGCCUCAGUGUGAAGAAUUUGAGCUUUACCCUGUGGGCAACGGGGAGCCACAGGAGCUGUUUAAGCAGAGGGAAGGAUCAUCACCAUUCCAGUUUCAGAAAUGUCACUUUGAUGUGGUCUGUGCAAUAGCCUGGAAGAAGGCAGGACUACGAGUGAAGAUUCCAGCCAUGGUGUUUCAGCAGUCCAGGCUGCAAAUGAUGGCUGCCUGGAAGAGGACACGGGAAGAGGCAGAGCUGAGUGAAGGGAGUUUAGGAGGAGGCAGAGUGAAGAGGAGGGGUGGGAGUGGGAGCAGGGAGGAACCUGCGGUGGCUGCCAGUUUCAACAGGAGGCACACCCAGAAGGGUGGGAACUCUAUCUACUCCUAGCACUUGUUCCGGGGUGGUGCCCACCCUCAGGCUCCCGGCCGCCAACUGAGUUCACUAAAAGCCCCUGCCCUCCCAUCAACCUUGUGGCCCACUGGUUGGCAGUGGCAAACCAGUUCCACCAACAUUUACUAAGCAGCUGUUAUGUGUCAGGAACCAGGGGGGCUUCUCCCUGCCUCACCUAGGGGAGUUUCAACCAGAUGACUGAGAGGUUCCAGAGCAGGGAGGGGAGGCUGAGGGUCGGCAGAGAGAAGGGAAAUGCUGUGGACACAUAGCCUCUGUUCAGGCCCUCUCUCUUCCCCCAGCACCGGAGGAACCUCACCCCUGACCUCUCACCCCCAUGACAGGAAAGGUACAAGGGACAUCUGCAGGGCCUUAGACAAAGCCCCUGGGCCCCCACCUCUACUGGAACAGGCAGCCACCCUGGUCUCUUUCCAUUCUGCAAGUUCUGUGCUCCCUCUGCUGUGAGAUCUAGGAUGAAGGGGGAGAGCUGCCUGCAUGCUGACCCACAGGACUUGCCACCUGCAUCCAAGAGAUUCACUCCAUGGAAUUGAGGCGUUUUCCCAGAGGCUCUCGUGCACAGGGAGACAGAACUCACCACUGUCUGGGGAAUAUAAUUUCUUACCAGUUCACUAUCGCAGGAGUGCAGGUGAAUUAUAGGAUUGCUGUCCUCUGAGCCUAGAAGAGAGGCCUGCUUUAUAGAAAGGUCAUAUGCCACCUUCUUGAUGACUACAUGGUCACUUAGCCUUGCUCCCUGGACACCCUGCUCCCUGCCAGCUCCUACUCCCUGGAGAAGUCACUUCCCAGAAGGAUGCUGUUCUCUUGGUUAUUUGGCUGGACCGGGCUGCUGAGGGGAAGGUCUGCUGGGGAAAAGUCUGGACAAAGACAGAAGGAUCAACUGGAGCCCUAACGAGACUGGGCUCAGAACAGCAGAGGAGAAAUUUUAGUCGCACAUUGAGGACUGGAGAAGAGAAAGCUUGUGCUCUACAGACAGCUUCUCCUUGAAGAUGAGGAAAUGGAGAACAAGGAGGAGGAGCCACGGGAUCAUCAGGACUCUGGAAAAGGGGCAGAGACUUCCAGGAACAGUUGGUACAUGCGCAGUUCUCCAAACUCCUGUGCACAUGGCGCCAAGGUGCCUAGCAAGGUACAAUAAACUCUGUGCUACAGAAGAUCCCAAGCCACCAAUGCCUCUUGGAGCUCUCUCAUCCAGAGGCUCCCCAUCAUGAUGAACAUCAUCAUCUAUACAGGAAAGAGCCUCUCCAUCUCCCUCUCCCAAAGGGAACUCCAAGAAGCCUCAAAGAGCUUUCCUAAUUCUCCAGUCAAGUCACUCUGAGCUGGCUUCUUCUUCCCAGAGGGAAAGUUGAGGAGGCCUCUAGCGUGUGAAGUGGGGAGAAAAAUGAACAUCUGAGUUGGUAGGACUAGAGAGGAAAAGUGACAUAGCCAAGAUCACACAGCUUGGCUGCAGCUGAGCUACAGAGCAGAGAGGGGGCGGCAAGAAGAUGCUGAAUCGAUUUCCCCAGUCUUUGAGUCUGGCCUUCUCUUGUGACUUGCUUUGAGCAGCAGAAUGUGGCAGAAGGGCUACUGCAUGAGUUCCAGAGCUGGGGUCUCUAGACCCCUGCAGCUUCUGCUUUUCAUCAGAAUACAGCCGGCAGACCACAGAAGAAGGCAGCAAGUCCAGCCUCCUGGAGGUUAAUUUGCAGGCCCUCAUUCACUGGACCCAAGUUGGGAGAGGAAGAGUUUUCCUCCCAAUAGAGGCUAUGUGGAAAAGAAUAGAGAAGCCCCAACAUAUAGCCAGUCCCAAGACUCUAGAAGAAGUCUGGGUGAGGCUAUCUUGGAUCUUCCAGCCCAGCUAAGCCCAGUCAGCAGCUGAAUGUAUCUACAUGAGAGCCCAGGCAAGACCAGCAGAACUGCCCAAUCAAUCCAAAGAAUUGUGAGAGAUAAUAAAUAUUUGUUGUUUUAAACCACUAAGUUUUGGGGUGAUUUGUUAUAUAGCACUAGGUAACUAAUAAACUCAGAGUUUCCAUUUCCUACACACUCUGUACUUUUCUCGUUCUGUUUCCUGCUUGGAACGCUCCCAUCAUGGCCCUA